GAUGAACGCUAGCGAUAGGCUUAACACAUGCAAGUCGAGGGGCAGCACAAGGUAGCUUGCUAUCUGGGUGGCGACCGGCGCACGGGUGCGUAACGCGUAUGCAACUUGCCCUAUACAGGAGGAUAACCCGUCGAAAGACGGACUAAUACUGCGUAUGCUCACAACUUGGCAUCAAGUGGUGAGGAAAGAAAUUCGGUAUAGGAUAGGCAUGCGUCCCAUUAGCUUGUUGGUGAGGUAACGGCUCACCAAGGCAACGAUUGGUAGGGGAACUGAGAGGUUUAUCCCCCACACUGGUACUGGGACACGGACCAGACUCCUACGGGAGGCAGCAGUGAGGAAUAUUGGUCAAUGGGCGCGAGCCUGAACCAGCCAAGUCGCGUGAAGGAUGACUGUCUUAUGGAUUGUAAGCUUCUUUUAUACGGGAAUAACAAGAGUCACGUGUGACUCCCUGCAUGUACCGUAUGAAUAAGCAUCGGCUAACUCCGUG
rnacentral:rRNA from 1 species